UGGGGAAUAUUGCGCAAUGGGGGCAACCCUGACGCAGCAACGCCGCGUGCGGGACGACGGCCUUCGGGUUGUAAACCGCUUUCAGCAGGGAAGAUAGUGACGGUACCUGCACAAGAAGCCCCGGCUAACUACGUGCCAGCAGCCGCGGUAAUACGUAGGGGGCGAGCGUUAUCCGGAUUCAUUGGGCGUAAAGGGUUCGCAGGCGGAAAUGCAAGUCAGGUGUAAAAGGCAGUAGCUUAACUACUGUAAGCAUUUGAAACUGCAUAUCUUGAGAAGAGUAGAGGUAAGUGGAAUUUUUAGUGUAGCGGUGAAAUGCGUAGAUAUUAGGAGGAAUACCGGUGGCGAAGGCGACUUUCUGGACUUUUACUGACGCUCAGGUACGAAAGCGUGGGGAGCAAACAGG
rnacentral:rRNA from 1 species